CAGUGUGACGUUGAGAGAAUUGGUCUCUCUAUCUCGCUUCCUCUCUCUCUGGUUGUCCUUUCGGUUAAGAACUCGUCCGGCUCGACAUUCAAUAAUGCAAAACGAACGACUUGAAUU